rnacentral:lncRNA from 1 species
AUGGUCCCAUUUGCAUCUGGAAACCCGGAGCUUCGAGAGAAGCCAGCCACCCGGGCAUGCAGGGGGCCGAGAGCCGAGAACGUGGCAGGGCAGCCCGGCCAGCAGGGAGGGGUGUGUGCUGGCGUCCCCCGGGAGCGCCCGGCUCUGUCCUCCUCUUCUGCACGGCCCGGGGUGGGGUCUUUCUCCCAUUGCACCUCCCUUUCGUUCAGGUGUAAAAUGGAGCCAGAAGCCUCCUGCCUGACGGGCUUGUUGAGGGGCUUGAAUGGGGGCGGGAACUGGGGGUGGGACAGGCCAGUGCUGGCUUCCCUGGGAGCUUUGCUAUUCUCCUCACUGGAGAGAACUUUCGUUCAAGACCCCGAGGUGCCCACUCCUCCUCAGCGGGCAGGGCAAACCCCUGAGUCUCCGAGCUGUGGCUCCCUGUGGGUCAGACCCCAGUGCACCCCGCGCCCCAGGAGCUGCAGCCAACAGAUCGGCUCUUGUCACUUGUUUUGUCGCCACUGCUCUGUCGAGGCUGUGAGCGGUGAAAGGACGGAAAGAGAAGUUCUGAUGCUGAAGACAGAGAGGGGCGGGGACCGGGCAGCUGGGAGUCGGCCCGCAGGGCCUGCGGCUCCUGGCCAUGUCUCCCAGCUUCUCUGGAAGCGCUGGGCAGACACCGAGUGGCCCUCUUGCUUCAUCUCCUGCGGGGCGUUGCGACAUCGGCGCAGGGUAAGGAGUGGAGCUGGCCUGCGAGAGCCGCCUGAGUCAUGGGAACCUGGGAGCUUCUCUGGGGAGUGUCCUGCAGCUGGGGCGGGGCCUGGCCGGGGGAGACCUCGUUGUGCAAGGAGCCACCUGCCAGGAGCACCCCGGGUCUGCGUGGAGGCCCAGGGAUCUCUGGGGGCCUGCGGAAAACUGGAGUGGCUGCUUUGUCCUCCCAGUCGGGGUGGGGAGGGGGCUCAGCCGGGACUCCGGUGGUCUCCGGAGCAGACCAGCAGGCCAGGGCUACUUCUGCCCCUCUCCCGUUGUUCCACCUGCCGCAUGAGCUGGAGCAAGUCGGAGUGUCGGGCUUCCUGUCAGCUAAGGGAAGUGGUCUGA